UAAACUGCUUUUUAAAACAAUAGGGUGGGGAAUACAAUAGACUUUACUAGAAAUUUACAAUUUUAUAAAUUAACCUGGUUACACCCCCUGGCUUUUAAGCAGCCAACAGGUCAUAUUACUUCCUGGUUGUUAAGCUCAGUGUACGAUACAUUUAAGAGGCAGCAAUAGCCCAGAGCACCUGCCUUGCAAAGACUUCUCAUUGAGCUGCAUUAGGAAGCCUGUG